UGGGGGAAUAUUGCACAAUGGGCGCAAGCCUGAUGCAGCAACGCCGCGUGAGGGAUGACGGCCUUCGGGUUGUAAACCUCUUUUAGUAGGGAAGAAGCGAAAGUGACGGUACCUGCAGAAAAAGCACCGGCUAACUACGUGCCAGCAGCCGCGGUAAUACGUAGGGUGCGAGCGUUGUCCGGAAUUAUUGGGCGUAAAGAGCUCGUAGGCGGUCUGUCGCGUCUGCUGUGAAAACCCGAGGCUCAACCUCGGGCCUGCAGUGGGUACGGGCAGACUAGAGUGCGGUAGGGGAGAAUGGAAUUCCUGGUGUAGCGGUGGAAUGCGCAGAUAUCAGGAGGAACACCGAUGGCGAAGGCAGUUCUCUGGGCCGUAACUGACGCUGAGGAGCGAAAGCGUGGGGAGCGAACAGGAUUAGAUACCCUGGUAGUCCACGCCGUAAACGUUGGGCGCUAGAUGUGGGGGCACCAUUCCACGGUUUCCGUGUC
rnacentral:rRNA from 1 species